AGCGAUGGCGGGGCGAAGCCUGUCCGCAAUGCCGCGUGAGUGAUGAAGGCCUUAGGGUUGUAAAGCUCUUUUACCCGGGAUGAUAAUGACAGUACCGGGAGAAUAAGCUCCGGCUAACUCCGUGCCAGCAGCCGCGGUAAUACGGAGGGAGCUAGCGUUGUUCGGAAUUACUGGGCGUAAAGCGCACGUAGGCGGCUUUGUAAGUUAGAGGUGAAAGCCUGGAGCUCAACUCCAGAAUUGCCUUUAAGACUGCAUCGCUUGAAUCCAGGAGAGGUGAGUGGAAUUCCGAGUGUAGAGGUGAAAUUCGUAGAUAUUCGGAAGGGGGGGGGGGGGCGAAGGCGGCUCACUGGACUGGUAUUGACGCUGAGGUGCGAAA
rnacentral:rRNA from 1 species